rnacentral:rRNA from 1 species
GACGAACGCUGGCGGCGUGCCUAAUACAUGCAAGUCGAACGCAGUGGGGACGGGUGAGUAACACGUGGGUAACCUCCCAUCAGAGGGGACACCACUUGGAAACAGGUGCUAAACCGAUACUGAUGGAUGGACCCGCGGUGCAUUAACUAGUUGGUGAGGUAACGGCGCACCAAGGCCACGAUGCAUAGCCGCGCUGAGAGGGUGAUCGGCCACACUGGGACUGAGACACGGCCCAGACUCCUACGGGAGGCAGCAGUAGGGAAUAUUGGGCAAUGUGCGAAAGUCUGACGGAGCAACGCCGCGUGAGUGAAGAAGGUUUUCGGGUCGUAAAACUCUGUUGUUAGAGAAGCGGUAUCUAACCAAAAAGCCACGGCUAACUACGUGCCAGCCGCCGCGGUAAUAC